GGGAAAUGGAAAAUCAACCAUAAAAAAAUUACAAAAUACAAACAUGGCUAACAAAUGUUCCAAGGAGAAAAAAGAAGAAAAAAAAGGUCAACCAGUUAAAAUCUGAAGUAUACCUAAAGUUGGAGAGCCAGCAAUCAAGCAUGUAAAAGUACUCGUGCUAGCUGCUCGAUCAUCUCGGGGCUUGAUCUGAACCUGAAGCUCCGACUGAUGGAGUUGUCGGCACACUUGAUGCUGAUCCAUUUUCGACAGGUGG
rnacentral:misc_RNA from 1 species